AGCUCCAAUAGCGUAUAUUAAAGUUGUUGCGGUUAAAAAGCUCGUAGUUGGAUCUCGGCAGGCAGGGGGUGGUUCGCUCCUUAGCGCUACUGCCCCAUUUGCCUGUGUGAUUGGCAGAGGUUUCGGGGUGCCCUUUAUUGAGUGACCCUGAGCGCUGUCAGGUUUACUUUGAAAAAAUUAGAGUGCUUCAAGCAGGCUGUUAUGCCAGAAUAUUUGUGCAUGGAAUAAUAGAAUAGGAUGUUGAUCUUAUUUUGUUGGUUUUCGAGACUUGACAUAAUGAUUAAUAGGGACAGUCGGGGGCAUUUGUAUUCAAACGACAGAGGAGAAAUUCUUGGACCGUUUGAAGACAAACUACUGCGAAAGCAUUUGCCAAGAAUGUUG
rnacentral:rRNA from 1 species